AUUGAACGCUGGCGGCAUGCUUUACACAUGCAAGUCGAACGGCAGCGCGGGGCAACCUGGCGGCGAGUGGCGAACGGGUGAGUAAUAUAUCGGAACGUACCCAAGAGUGGGGGAUAACGUAGCGAAAGUUACGCUAAUACCGCAUACGAUCUAAGGAUGAAAGCAGGGGACCGCAAGGCCUUGUGCUCCUGGAGCGGCCGAUAUCUGAUUAGCUAGUUGGUAGGGUAAAGGCCUACCAAGGCGACAAAUCAGUAGCUGGUCUGAGAGGACGACCAGCCACACUGGGACUGAGACACGGCCCAGAC
rnacentral:rRNA from 1 species